GUCCUGAUUUCUCUUGAAAGUCGAAAGACUGAAAAAAAAAAAAAAAUUUAAUUUGUUGGUUGUAAACAUGAAGAAAUGUGCUAACGCUUCUGAUGUUAACCAUCUAGAAUUUGAGGUCCUGAUUUCUCUUGAAAGUCGAAAGACUGAAAAAAAAAAAAUUUAAUUUGUUGGUUGUAAACAUGAAGAAAUGUGUUAACGCUUCUGAUGCUAACCAUCUAGAAUUGGAGGUCCUAAUCUCUCUUGAACAUCGAAAGUAAGUCGUUUCCUCACUGUAAGUCGUUUCAUCGCUGUAAGUAAAACUAGAACUUCCUUCUGUAUUGUCCUGCUGCAAAUAAUUAAAAAAAGUUUUAAUUAAUGUGUCUAGGCAUGCAUCUCUUCAUCAUUUAAAGUAGAGGUUGAAAACAUGAAGAAAUAUGUCAGUGCUUCAUAAGCUGAAGUUCUAUAACUCGAGGUCCUGAUUUCUCUUGAAAGUCGAAAGACUGGAAAAAAAAAAAAUUUAAUUUGUUGGUUGUAAACAUGAAGAAAUGUGCUAACGCUUCUGAUGCUAACCAUCUAGAAUUGGAGGUCCUAAUCUCUCUUGAACAUCGAAAGUAAGUCGUUUCCUCACUGUAAGUCGUUUCAUCGCUGUAAGUAAAACUAGAACUUCCUUCUGUAUUGUCCUGCUGCAAAUAAUUAAAAAAAGUUUUAAUUAAUGUGUCUAGGCAUGCAUCUCUUCAUCAUUUAAAGUAGAGGUUGAAAACAUGAAGAAAUAUGUCAGUGCUUCAUAAGCUGAAGCUCUAUAACUCGAGGUCCUGAUUUCUCUUGAAAGUCGAAAGACUGAAAAAAAAAAAAAA